AAUUUUUAGGUGCUUCGGCAUAACAAGGAAGUAGGUGAGAUUCCUACGCAGCCUCCGCUACUGUAAUGAGGAUGAAACUAUAUUAACCACUGGAUAUUUCUGGGAAGGAUAGGAGUAAAAUGAUUCUAAGUCAGGAGACUUACCUAAAAAU
rnacentral:ncRNA from 1 species